ACAGCAGCUUGCUGAAGUGGCAAAGAAACAAUUACGAAACACGGAAAUAUCAGACGGUAAAAGAGUCAACAAAGAAUUUAAUGUUUAGUGUUUGAUUAUAAAGAGAAUAAGCAACACCUGGAAGGUCCGUUGCCUUGUUAUCAGUUUGUGCACCAAAAAAAUCGCUUACUGUUUUACCCAAGUACGGCUGGUGAUUGUUGCGAGUGUAAAACGAUAGCGUAAAAUAGAAGAGAUGUCUACAACGAUGGCCGGCUCCUAACCAAAAGUAUUCGGGAACAAGGGAUCGUAUAUAAACACACACUCCAUAUGCGUCCAUCGAAGCAUCAGCGAAGCCGUGCAACUCGAACACAGCGCCGUCGGAAUUCACUAUUUGACGAGGAAUACGAAGUUGGCUAACACCAUCAAUGGCUCUAAGGAAAGAUUCUACUUCAUGUUUCAACUCCCCGGUGAUACUUUCAUCCCAACUCAAUUUCCCUUCCAGAUUCUAUGCAUCAAGAGUUUUCCGAUCACGAUGACCGGUGCCACUAAGCCAAGCGGAUCAUACAUACGUGCGAUUACCGACGAGAGGUGUCUCUUUGUAGGCGUCCUUUCAUCAUCCGAUGGUGCCGAAGAAAAUAUUAAUUCAUCCGACGCCGGGUUCCACAUCAAACCCAACGUUUUGAUUGCUUCUGCUGCGCCGAUACAGACGAGUUCCUCACGGUCACGUUGAGGGAUCUUUUCCAAAAGUUUGGGACUAUUCGACGACCAUUUAUGUAGGUGAAAGCCACCGGCAGACAACAGCUGGACCAACUGCUCUUGUGCUGCGGACGCCGUGCUGAGAUCAUUGAAACCGAAUAAUGCGUUGUCUACGUAGCAAUCCUUCUCGAUGAUGUCAGCAGCCUUAGGAUAUUCAUCUGAUACAUCUUUGUAAUGUCGGCAGACAAAACAUAACAUGGCUCACGGAAUCGAAGGACUAUGGAUUGCAGGUCGCUCUGGUUGAUAGCACCUACCUUUAAAACAUCGUUGAGGGAGCGUCCAGAGACCUUAGCUGAAGCAUCAAACACUACCCGACAUUUGGUGGUUGUAUUCGACGGUUUUAAAACGGCAUGGUGAGUGACCAAGGUCCUCAUAUUCAGCCAUAAAUUCUGCAUACUGCUGCUUUAAUUCUGGUUGCUGAGUAAGUCUUUUUUCCAAAGCAUAAAAUCAUCUCAAGGCCACUUGUCUGGAGUCACCAAGUUCAUCCAGCGUGUUGCGGAGUGGCAGUUGAACUACGUAUCUACCCGUUGCAUCACGACGAUGUGUGGCUUGGAAAUGCAGUUCACAUUCUUGCUCUUCAGUGCAAACCUUAGAAGCAGAAUGCACCUCUUCCACCUCCCAAAAACGUUGUAUCAACGAAUUCAAAUCAUCCACCGUGACGGAGUGUGAGUAAACUGUCUGUUCUACUGUCAUAUUCACAUCGCAGCAACCACCAACGACCCAGCCGAGCAUUGUUUCUCGCAG